UACGUAGGGUGCAAGCGUUAAUCGGAAUUACUGGGCGUAAAGCGUGCGCAGGCGGUUGUGCAAGACCGAUGUGAAAUCCCCGGGCUUAACCUGGGAAUGGCAUUGGUGACUGCACGGCUAGAGUGUGUCAGAGGGGGGUAGAAUUCCACGUGUAGCAUUGAAAUGCGUAGAGAUGUGGAGGAACACCGGUGGCGAAGGCGGCAUCCUGGACCGACACUGACACUGAGGAGCGAAAGCCAGGGGAGCAAACGGG
rnacentral:rRNA from 1 species